rnacentral:lncRNA from 1 species
AAAAUAACUUAGAGCUAAUUUUGCUAGAAACAUAUAACCUAUUAGAUGGAUACAUGGGAAAAGAGCUAUUUUGCUUUGAACAUUAUAGGAUGGGAUGAAACACUCGUAAUGUAUGUAUUUGAUUUAAAAUGACAUAUACUUAUACAUAUUACUUAGCUACUCAAUGCAUUUGUUUAACAUAGUAGCCUUCUCAAGGUGACUAUGUAUACUACACCAAAUAACACACAAGUAGAAUAAUUUAUACUUAUUUUAUACAUCAUUUUCAAAAUUAAAUAUAUGUGUUAAACACUAAAACAAGAAACUAUGCAAUUUUUUAUGAAUAAUUAUAUUGACCAAAAUUAUAAUGUAUCGAUAUUUGAGUUUUUUAAAAUCUGAAAUUCUAAAAUAUAACGCAUUAAUAUCAUAAUAUGUUGUUUAAAAAAAACUUACAAUGAAAAAAAGA